rnacentral:rRNA from 1 species
GACGAACGCUGGCGGCGUGCUUAACACAUGCAAGUCGAGCGGUAAGGCCCUUUUGGGGGUACACGAGCGGCGAACGGGUGAGUAACACGUGGGUGACCUGCCCUCAGCUCUGGGAUAAGCCUGGGAAACUGGGUCUAAUACUGGAUAUGACCUUUCCUCGCAUGGGGUUGGGUGGAAAGUUUUUCGGCUGGGGAUGGGCCCGCGGCCUAUCAGCUUGUUGGUGGGGUGAUGGCCUACCAAGGCGACGACGGGUAGCCGGCCUGAGAGGGCGACCGGCCACACUGGGACUGAGACACGGCCCAGACUCCUACGGGAGGCAGCGGUGGGGAAUAUUGCGCAAUGGGCGGAAGCCUGACGCAGCGACGCCGCGUGGGGGAGUGACGGCC